rnacentral:tRNA from 1 species
GGGCCAGUGGCGCAAUGGAUAAACGCUGCCUGACUACGGAUCAGAAGAUUCUAGGUUCGACUCCUGGCUGGCUCG